GGGUCAUUAGAUCAGUGGAUAGAUCAUCUGACUACGAAUCAGGGGGUCGCAGGUUCAAUCCCUGCAUGACUCG
rfam:Gonapodya prolifera JEL478 unplaced genomic scaffold M427scaffold_73, whole genome shotgun sequence.